CCCUUAGAUGUUCUGGGCCGCACGCGCGCUACAAUGAUGGAUUCAACGAGUUUAUAACCUUGGUUGAAAAGCCUGGGUAAUCUUUUGAACUUUCGUCGUGAUGGGGCUAGACCCUUGCAAUUAUUGGUCUCCAACGAGGAAUUCCUAGUAAACGCAAGUCAUCAGCUUGCAUUGAUUACGUCCCUGCCCUUUGUACACACCGCCCGUCGCACCUACCGAUUGAAUGGUCCGGUGAAAUCUUCGGAUUGAGACUUUGAUUUCUUCACGGAAAACGCUGUUUUAAAAAGUUGAUUAAACCUUACCAUUUAGAGGAAGGUGAAGUCGUAACA
rnacentral:rRNA from 1 species